rnacentral:rRNA from 1 species
UACAGAGGUCUCAAGCGUUUGUUCGGAUUCAUUGGGCGUAAAGGGUGCGUAGGUGGCGCCGUAAGUCAGGUGUGAAAUUUCGGAGCUUAACUCCGAAACUGCAUUUGAUACUGCGGUGCUUGAGGACUGGAGAGGAGACUGGAAUUUACGGUGUAGCAGUGAAAUGCGUAGAGAUCGUAAGGAAGACCAGGUGGCGAAGGCGGGUCUCUGGACAGUUCCUGACCAGCUGAGGCAACGGAAGGCCAGGGGGAGCAAACGGG